rnacentral:lncRNA from 1 species
CUUUUCCUUAUUUUUUUCAUUCAGAUCAGUAUCAGUUCUGAACUCAGGUUCUUCUAUUGGGUUAGCUUCAGUACUAACCUCUUCUUUCAAGUUCUCAUUUUGGCUAGUAUCAGUACUAGCCUCUUUCACCUGGUCUUGAUAUAGGUCCUUAAGAAUCCUAUCACUUCUAAGUUUAAUAAUUGCAUUGGCAUUCUUAAAUUAAGGAUUAUUAGGGGGACAUUGAAUUUAUGACUAGGUGAUUGGUGGAUGGAUGGGUUGUUCCUAGGAUUUCAUAUCGAUUGGC